AUUGAACGCUGGCGGCAGGCCUAACACAUGCAAGUCGAGCGGAUGAAGGGAGCUUGCUCCUGGAUUCAGCGGCGGACGGGUGAGUAAUGCCUAGGAAUCUGCCUGGUAGAGGGGGAUAACGUCCGGAAACGGGCGCUAAUACCGCAUACGUCCUGAGGGAGAAAGUGGGGGAUCUUCGGACCUCACGCUAUCAGAUGAGCCUAGGCCGGAUUAGCUAGUUGGUGGGGUAAAGGCUUACCAAGGCGACGAUCCGUAACUGGUCUGAGAGGAUGAUCAGCCACACUGGAACUGAGACACGGUCCAGACUCCUACGGGAGGCAGCAGUGGGGAAUAUUCGACAAUGGGCGAAAGCCUGAUCGAGCCAUGCCGCGUGUGUGAAGAAGGUCUUCGGAUUGUAAAGCACUUUUAGUUGGGAGGAAGGGAAGUAAGUGAAUACCUGGCUGUUUUGACGUUACCAACAGAAUAAGCAACGGCUAACUUCGUG
rnacentral:rRNA from 1 species